rnacentral:rRNA from 1 species
CACGGGGGGAGCAAGCGUUGUUCGGAUUCAUUGGGCGUAAAGAGCUUGUAGGCGGUCUGUCGCGUCUGCUGUGAAAAUCCGGGGCUCAACCCCGGACUUGCAGUGGGUACGGGCAGACUAGAGUGUGGUAGGGGAGACUGGAAUUCCUGGUGUAGCGGUGAAAUGCGCAGAUAUCAGGAGGAACACCGAUGGCGAAGGCAGGUCUCUGGGCCACUACUGACGCUGAGAAGCGAAAGCAUGGGGAGCGAACAGG